UUUUUAAAAUUAAUAAAAUAAAUGAUUUUCAAAAAUGGAAUGACAAGUUACAAUGGUAGAAUGAGAGAUUUAUUGCUGGGCAUAGUGGCUUAAGCCUGUAAUACCAGCACUUUGGGAGGCUGAGGUGGGUGGAUUGCUUGAGCCCAGGAAUUUGAGACCAGCCUGGGAAACAUGACGAAACCUCGUCUCUACAAAAAAUACUUAUAUUAGUCAAGUGUGGUUGCAUGCACCUAUAGUCCCAGCUACUGGACUGAGUCUGGAAGGUCGAGUCUGCAGUGAGCUGUGGUCAUGCCACUGUAGUCCAGCCUGGGUGACAGAGGGAGACCCUAUCUCAAAAAAAAAAAAAAAAAAAAAAAAAGAAGAAAAAGAAAAGAUCUAUAAAAAUCCCUGUAUAUUUUACUACAUUAAUUAUCAGAGAACAUUUGAGGAACUUCGUUAGUUUAAAAGAUAUUUCACCUUGGAAACAUGUGCCCAUUUUUCUUACAUUAGAUGCAUUUUAAUCUUAUUCUUGUUGAAAGGCGAGUUUCAGUCACGUUUUUGAUUAUUCUCUUUAUGAUUGAUAUUCAUUUAAAAAUAUCAGUAUUAUUUGAAAGAUAUAACUACUUUUCUUAUACAUUCUAAUAUGGGUAUUACUAUCCCAUACAAUUUGUAAAAGUUUAUAAAAAAUGUAUUAUGCUUUCUCAGAAUUGAUGAUGAGGCAAGUAUAUAAAAAUCAAAUUCCAAAGAUGCUAAAAAGGAAAACAAUAUUAAUUAUGUUUUAUACUUUUUGGUCUUAGCCUAUAAUUAUAUAAAAUCCAAAAUCAAAAGUAAAAUUACAUUGCGACAAGGUGAUUGCAAGUACAUUUUAUCUGUUUUAAAAUGAAUAAUCAAGAACAAGUGUAAUUAUACUGGGAUUCUUUGCUGAAUAUAGUCAUUGAGUUUCUAUUACCUCAAUAUGUUACCAAAUUUUGUAAAAUAAAAACAAUUUACUAGAAGGAGUUAAUACAUUAAGGUGAUCAUUUGACACUUUCUUUCUUAUAUUCUGAUCAACUUUUAUAAAGUAAAUAUUCACUCUUUGUUCUGUUUUUUAAAUUGGAGGCUUCUUAAAGAAGAAUGUGCCCACAUUGGCAAAAUAAGAACAAGCAUUUUGCCUAAUGAGAAAUGAAUGCUGUCACUGAAUGAUGUAAAAUUUCUUUAAAAAGGAGAGAGAGGGAGCACUAAAUGUUUAAAGAAAAAUCUACCUACCUAUCCAUGUACCUAUAUUUUAAUAAAGUAUGUAAAAUAAUCUAAAACACAAGGGACUAUACAUAGAAACUCUUUUUAUCUCUUUGUUUCUUUUGAUCUUUAGAAUAUUGCUCAUUGGAAGUAAUCAGGAUAACAGAAAAGUUAUCACCUUAAAAUGAAUGUUCUUCAUAAAAAAGAUUAUUCAUAAGAAAUCUAAGGACUUUCUUUUUAUUUUCUUUUUUUUUUUAAAGAGAUCAAGUCUUGCUUUGGCUAAUGCAGUUUGUAUCACUUUCUUAUGUCCUCCUUCCUGAUAUAUUUUAUAGGAGCACUUGAAAAAUGAACUGCUUAGAGUAGAAAAAAUCACAUAAAUUAUAAAGUAAUUCUAGCAUAGACUUGAGAAAAUGGUUUCUUUAUGAUUCAUUUUCAUCAUAUUAUCAUGUUAAAAAGCUUUAUUUAGGAUUCUUUCUUUGCUUUUGCUAAAUGUAUCUCAGUCCCUUUUAUUACCUUCUAGAUUUACUUGUUUUGUGUUUAGAAUUGUUUUGUUUUUCAUACCCUUCAUUCUUCACUUUUGUUUUUUUCAGCAAAAUAUCAAAACAUUUGCAAAUCGUAGAGAUUAUCCUUUAAAUAAAUACAAAUCUGCAUGCCACCAAAAUAUAUACAUCAUCCUAUGUGAUUUACUUUUAUGGUGUUUAGUAAGAAAUAUUGCUUUAUUUUCUUGUAAAAAAUUUCCAGUGGUAAAAAUAAAUCAACAUAGUAGAAUAAACGUCAAUAGUUUGAAAAUGAAAUCUAAACCCAUAAACAAAUUAUUGACAAAUGCCUUUUAUCUCAAUUAUACACCUAUUGGAAAAUUUCUUUAUAAGACACAGCCAUUUCCAAUAUAUUUGUGAAAAGAGUUGUUUAAAACCUAUUUAUCACUUUGAAUAAGUUCCACGUUUUUUGACACAUACCAAUAACAUAGAAUAAUAUAUUUUUUCUUGUUUAUGUUAUAGCUUUUCACUGAGUACCUUGUAAAGGCAUGAGACACAGUGUGAUUGGCAUAUGUGGUGGUGUUAGUGGUAUAUGGCCAAAGCACCAGCUUAUACUCUAAUGACCCAGGUCUAGACCUCAUGCUACCUCUUGCUAAUAUUGUCCCCUCAGGUACACGUAAUUAAUUGUAAAGUGCUGGUGACUACAUAUGACCUUCCUACUCAACAGGGAUGUUGAGAGGAUAAAAAAAAAAUGAGAUAUUUCUCUAAAGUGCUUUUUUUUUUUCUUUUUGUCAUGGCUAACAGGAAUAUUUGACAAAAGACAAUAGAAUUUCUAUACAAAACUUUUCUUCUA
rnacentral:lncRNA from 1 species